UUGGCAGUUUUGCUGGCUCUUUUCAGUGCCGCUUUAGGACUGGACCCCUGUGAGAGCACACAAAGUCGCAAUUAUGUGGAAAGGAAAGGCUAACAAUAUGUUACGAAUAUUUUAUUCCGUUUAAACCGAUGCAAAUAUUUUUUUAA